rnacentral:rRNA from 1 species
UACGGAGGGUGCGAGCGUUGUCCGGAAUCACUGGGCGUAAAGGGCGCGUAGGUGGCCGUGGCAAGCGUGCGGUGAAAGCCCGGGGCUCAACCCCGGGUCGGCCGUGCGGACUGCCGGGCUGGGGCCCACUAGGGGCAGGCGGAAUUCCGGGUGUAGAGGUGAAAUUCGUAGAUAUCGGGAGGAACACCGGUGGCGAAGGCGGCGACCUGGGUCGAUACUGACGCUGAUGCGCGAAAGCGUGGGGAGCAAACAGG